rnacentral:misc_RNA from 1 species
UCUCCGUUGGUGAACCAGCGGAGGGAUCAUUAAAGAGUUGCAAAACUCCCAAACCGUUGUGAACAUACCUUCCACGUUGCUUCGGCGGGUUGGCCCCGGUCUCCGGGGUCCCCGGCCCUAACGGGCGCCCGCCGGAGGUACCUAACUCUUGAACUUUAAUGGCCUUUCUGAGUAUUUGUUCUUAAUAAGUCAAAACUUUCAACAACGGAUCUCUUGGUUCUG